rnacentral:rRNA from 1 species
UACAGAGGGUGCGAGCGUUAAUCGGAAUUACUGGGCGUAAAGCGUGCGUAGACGGUUAUUUAAGUCGGGUGUGAAAGCCCCGGGCUCAACCUGGGAAUUGCAUUCGAGACUGAAUAGCUAGGGUACGGUAGAGGGAAGUGGAAUUUCCGGUGUAGCGGUGAAAUGCGUAGAUAUCGGAAGGAACACCGGUGGCGAAGGCGGCAUCCUGGACCGGCACUGACGCUGAGGAGCGAAAGCCAGGGGAGCAAACGGG